AUGGAUAAUACAAAUCACAACAUCAUUGUGUGGAACGUCCGUGGGCUAAAUAAUGCGGCUAGAGGAGCGACCUUGAGAAGCAUGGUCGAUGAUGCGGCGGCCUUGGUGGUGUGCAUCCUAGAGUCCAAGCUAGCGGUGGUGGACCAACGCGUGAUUGCCUCCUUGUUGGGCUUGCAAUUUGAUGUGUACGUGGCCCUACCGGCGCAGGGUACGGCAGGCAGGAUCAUU
rnacentral:rRNA from 1 species